rnacentral:rRNA from 1 species
UACAGAGGGUGCAAGCGUUAAUCGGAAUUACUGGGCGUAAAGCGAGCGUAGUCGGUUAUUUAAGUCGGAUGUGAAAUCCCCGGGCUCAACCUGGGAAUUGCAUUUGUGACUGCACGGCUAGAGUGUGUCAGAGGGGGGUAGAAUUCCACGUGUAGCAGUGAAAUGCGUAGAGAUGUGGAGGAAUACCGAUGGCGAAGGCAGCCCCCUGGGAUAACACUGACGCUCAUGCACGAAAGCGUGGGGAGCAAACAGG